rnacentral:tRNA from 1 species
GCGGGUGUAGUUCAAUGGUAGAAUCCUUGCUUCCCAAGCAAGCUACGCGGGUUCGAUUCCCGUCACCCGCUCCA